UUGAUGUGAUGAUUUUCUUCUCACGAUGGUCUUCUGAGCACCUUUGGUGAGGGAGCUAUGCUGAGAUGCCUUUUGGCUUUUUCUGAUCAAGUCCA